rnacentral:rRNA from 1 species
CACCGCGGUUAUACGAGUGACACACAUUAAUACUUUCCGGCGUAAAGAGUGAUUAAAAAUAAUCUUCAUUACUAAAAUUAAGACCUCGUCAAGCCGUUAUACGCACUUACGAGUUUAAAAUUCAACAACGAAAGUGAUUUUACAUUAAUAGAACUUUUGACCCCACGACAGUUAAUGCC